rnacentral:SRP_RNA from 1 species
GCUGGGCGCGGUGGCGCGUGCCUGUAGUCCCAGCUAUUCGCAAGGCUGAGGCUGGAGGAUCGCCUGAGUCCAGGAGAUAUGGGCUGUAGUGCGCUAUGCCGAUCGGGUGUCCGCACUAAGUUUGGCAUCAAAAUGGUGACCUCCCGGGAGUGGGGGACCACCAGGUUGCCUAAGGAGGGGUGAACCUGCCCAGGUUGGAAACAGAGCAGGUCAAAACUCCCAUGCUGAUCAGUAGUGGGAUUGCGCCUGUGAAUAGCCACUGCACUCCAGCCUGGGCAACAUAGCGAGACCCUGUCUCU